AUGGCCUCUGCGGCUGGCGAGGCGCUGCCUGGGCCCUGCCGAGGGGAGGUCGGGCUGCAGUUCUGGGUGGAAUCCUUGCAGCUGGUUCCCGGCUUGCUGGCUCCCGCUGUGCUGCUGGGGGUCGCCUUGGGCGUCGGCGCCGCGCUCCUGCUGUGUUUCUAUGUGAUCGGGCCUCUUCUGCAAAACAAGAAAGAUGAUUCCCAAAGGCUUCUGGAAAGCUUUCGCUCGGAUGUACACGGACAUCUUGAUGAAAAUGUACCCUUACCCAGAAAGAAGAAAACAGAAACUCAAAUGUCAGAGGAGGAAAUGGUGCUCGAAGGAAAUGAGUCUUCUUUGAACAGUAACAUCACAGCAUUUGCAUUAAAAGCAAAAGUCGUCUAUCCAAUCAAUCAAAAAUUUAGGCCCCUUGCAGAUGGAUCAUCCAAUCCAUCUUUGCAUGAGAAUCCAAAGCAGGCUGUUCUGCCUAAUCAGAUAAUGGAAACUUCUACUUCAAGCAGCCUUGGAUCCUUGAGUCAUGAAGAUAAGGAGGACUGUAGUUCAUCUACAACAAUACAUUCUGCAACUAGUGAUGACAGAUUUCAGGACCGAGCCUUCCUGAAGGUGACCUGUUUCCCUGAAGUUCUGACUUGUGAGAGUUUUGAUUUUAAACUGUGCCUGUAUAGUCUUCUUUUGAAAGAAUUGCUGCUGCUUGAUACCGAACUAAGAAGGGAAAAACAGGUGGUAUUUUUUCAGAUUCUCAGAACAUACCUCUCUGAUUUUUACCUUAAAAAAAGGAUUACUGAAGGUUUGUACCAGCAAAUCAUUUUGACGCAAGAAACUGAUUUGAAAGAGUUACAGAAACAACUUACCUCCAGACUACUGAGUACUGAGAUGUCGGGCGCUCGUAAUUCAGAGUACCAGACCUUAGAAGACUUAGAAAGGAAAGAGAGGGAAUAUUCUGAACAUAUCCUCGAUAACAUGGAAGCUUUCUGGAAGCAGGCAGACAAAGCCGAGCAGUUUCUCCUGAGCCUAUCAAAUUGCUCAAGUGCCAAAAGAGGAAAGAUAAUGAUGAAUCUGACUGAGAGAAUGAUUGCAGUAGAAGGAUUAUUAAGCCAGUCUCAGGAUUUGCAAACAAUGGACAUUCAGGAAAGAAUAUUUAAUUGGGAGCGAACGGUGAAAAUGGUUGAUUUUUUGAAGACAAAGAUACAAGAAGAAAGUAAAUGUAGACUAGAUGCUGUAGCUGGUAUAUUGGACCAGUUAACUAUAAAGAGCAACCUCUCUCUUUCGCAGAAGGAAGAGCUUUUAACAGGCCUGCACAAGGCCUUCUGGGAGCAAGUAGCACAUUACAAUAAUGAAUGUGUCCAACAAGGUAAAGACCUAAUCGUGAAACUCCUAGCAUGUCGUGCAAGGAAGAUAAGAGAGCUCAAACAAGCUCAGAAGGAUGAACAAGGGGAUCUCCUCAGUAAAACUCAGAAAAUAGGAGAACUCGAUGAAUUUCUGAAGGCCUGCCAUGAAAUGUUAGAGAAGCAGAGACAGACACUGCAUGAUCUGGAAGAAGAGGAUGACUGCCAAAGCACUGAGGCCGUUGCAGAGCUCCAUCAGGAACUGUGUUCUGGAACCUCCCACACUUUAGAUGAGUUGAUGCAAGAGUUAUUUCUUCAGACUCUUCCUACCAAGACUGGUCUGUCUUUAAGAGAAUGUGAACUUCUAAAAGAAGAAUGUCAGGAGAAUUUGAUCCUUCAGUUAGAGAAAUGGGACAGCUGUAGACAAAAGCAGUGGAAGCUCUUCCAAGAACAACUGCAAGAAGAAAAACAGCUAUGGACCAAGGAGUAUGCUCUGUCUGCUGUGAUGCAAAAACACCUGUAUGAGAAACAUGAGAAGAUUAUCCAAGGUGUUUUAAGCCGAUUAGGUGGCCUCAGUGAGGAGUCUGCUAAAUACAUAUUACGGAAACACAGGCUCUUGCUGUGUUCAGUUCUCAGAAGGUUAGCUGUCCGAAAUGUUGCUAUGGCUACUCUGACUCACAUGAAAAUGUCCCAGAAGAAAAACUUGCUUCAGGAGCUAAGAGAGCAACAUACUCUGCAAAAGAGUUCCUCACACUGUCAAGAUGAACACCAGUGGCAACUACAGAAAGCAAUGGAAUCUCACAUUCUGGAAGAAGAGGAGAAGUUGGAGGAGGAAACUCAACAAACACGUUUGGAAUUUCAUCAGCAGUUAGUUGCAGAAAUUCAAGAAGCUCUUCAGCUUGUGCAGCAGCACAUGGAACAAGUGACUGGGCAGGCCUUGCUCCAGCAUGCCCGGCAAGAAGCUGCUAAUCAAAGCUCUGAAGACGGAGAGGACUUCAAGGAGAGACUGACAGAAGCAGCUGUAGAGAGUGUAUAUGUGACCAGCAAUGGUGUCAAUAGACUGGUGCAAAGCUACUACCAGCAAAUAGAAAAAAUCAUGGACAGGCAUGAAGACAGAAAACUUCAACAACUGAAAUCCCUUCAGGCAGAAAGAACUGAAAGUAACAGACUCAGAAAAAAACUAGAAGAAAAUGACCAAACCUUGAAAGUAAAAAUGAAUCAAAGCACCCUGAACAUGUCAUCGGCAGUCCAUCAAAGGAUGUUGUUACAACAACAAAAAUUCUUGGCUCAGUUUGAUGUGCAGCAGCAAGUUCGUCUGGACUCUCUAAAACAGAAGAUAUUGGUAUUGCAUCAUCUAGAAACACAGCUUGAAAAUCAGCUAAAGGUAAAUCAAGCAAGCAGAACAGGAUUUCAUCACUGAGCUGGCUGCCUUGGCCCGAAUUCCCCUCACAGUGCGCAAGCAGCCUUUAAAUAGAAGCAUUCAAUCAGGAAAAAGCCAAAAAUCAAAAAGGAAGAAUCCCCACUCCUGGGGAAAAGAGGAUUCUGGUGACUUCAAUGAAAAAUGACCAGAUGCCUCCCAGGAACAGACUUCUGGAUCAAUCAGAAGCUAAAAUGGAUGCCUACUGAAAAGCAUGUUUAUAAUAACUGAUAAAAAAUCUGUUUCUUAAGAAAAUACAUUGAUUGAAAAAAUAUAGUAUCUACAUUCUUUCCUCUUUUGACCAGUAUUCUUGUUAAAGCAUGAACAUACUCACUCUUCCCCAUCAUCCUUUUUAAAGGGAGGAAGAGCUUCUAAAUUUGGCUUCCUAGUUUUUUUUCUUUUUAAUUUUCACUUUAAUUUUAGAUAACAAUAAGAAAUUGUAUGUUUCUGUCCAAGCUUGGUAUUCCUUUCACUGUGUUUCUUACACAUGGGGAUAGUUUCACAGCUGGUGUAAUUCAGCCUAGGUCUAUUGAAGUCAGUGGAACUACGAUGAUUUACAUCAGACAAAAUCUGGCCACUAGUAUCUAAAUAGCCACUGCCUCUGUUUCCUGGACAAAAGCAGGUUUGUUGGUUGUUGGCUUCUGGAGGAUCAGAGCUGACAGCUUUUGCUAUCAACAUAAUCACUGUUUGAAACAUCUCCUAGGGUGCUAACUAGACAAGUAGAAAGAGGCUCAAAGCUGAAGUGUGCCAGCUGCUUACUGGGGGGAUAGCUCAAACUGGUUCACUGAUUGCUGGGGCUUAAUGCAUUGAACAGAUCCUUCUGACAGGCAUUACAAAUAGUUGCUUCUCAAGAACCCUAUGGAGCCUUUAGGAAGAGUAUUUAUCCCCAGAGUGACCUUGGGCUGGGUUUGCUUUCAGAAGAUGGCUCUUGUCCCUGAUAGCAUGAUUACCAUGCUUUCUUGCACCCUGCUUUCCUUCAGCAAACAGAAGACAUUUGUAACAGGGGGAAAGAGCACAGGGCACAUCAGUGUAUAUUUAUCUUGUAUGUUUUGGCAGGCCUAAGUCAGUUGCAGCCAGAAAGUGAAAGCCUAAUAUUACAAUGUAACAAACUCCCUUCUGUUAUUAAAAUGGAGAAUUUUGGUCUGAAA